rnacentral:rRNA from 1 species
GAUGAACGCUGGCGGCGUGCUUAACACAUGCAAGUCGAACGGAAAGUCCCUGCUUGCAGGGUACUCGAGUGGCGAACGGGUGAGUAACACGUGGGUGAUCUGCUCUGCACUUCGGGAUCAGCCUGGGAAACUGGUUCUAAUACCGGAUAUUACUUUUCAGGUUGGGUUGGGGGUGGAAAGUUUUAUCGGUGUGGGAUGAGCCCGCGGCCUAUCAGCUUGUUGGUGGGGUAAUGGACUACCAAGGCGUCGACGGGUAGCCGGCCUGAGAGGGUGGACGGCCACAUUGGGACUGAGAUACGGCCCAGAGUCCUACGGGAGGCAGCAGUAGGGAAUAUUGCACAAUGGGCGGAAGCCUGAUGCAGCGACGCCGCGUGGGGGAUGACGGCCUUCGGGUUGUAAACCUCUUUCGACAGGGACGAAGCUUCGGUGACGGUACCUGUAGAAGAAGCACCGGCUAACUCCGUG